GGAUCACCUGAGGUCAGGAGUUCAACACCAGCUUGGCCAACAUAGUGAAUCCCCAUCCCUACUGAAAAUACAAAAAAAUUAGCUGGGCGUAGUGAUGCAGUUUUUUGCUCCCUGGAGGACUUUGUGUUAAGCUUUCUUCCUUGCAGCUAAAUGUUGCAGACAUUUAAGCAGUUUGAAACUCUGCAUAUGAGCAGGAAUCAAAGUUAAAUCCAAAGUGUAGGGCUGGGCGUAGUGGCUCAUGCCUAUAAUCCCAGCACCUUGGGAGGAUCACUUGAGGUCAGGAGUUUGAGACCAGCCUGGCCAACAUGGCGAAACCCCGUCUCUACUAACGAUACAAAAAUUAGCAGGUCGUGGUGGCAGGCGCCUGUGAUCCCAGCUAUCGGGAGGCUGAGGGUCGAGAAUGGCUUGAACUCCAGAGGUGGAAGUUGCAGUGAGCCGAGAUUGUGCCACUGCACUCCAACCUCCCCUCCAGGCUGGUCUCGAACUCCUGUGACCUCAGGUGAUCUGCCCACCUUAGCCUCCCAAAGUGCUGGGGUUACAGGCGUGAGCCACCAUGCCUGGCCAAAAUGGUGUUUAUGUUAAGCUAUUGUGCAAAAAAAAAUUUUGUAAAGAAAAUACAUCGCUCUACUUUAAUUCCAUAUACUUUCCUGACUACUCUUCUACCGUAAGUGCAAAAAUUCUAUGAUUUCUCUGUAUAACAUACCCAGCAAAUCAGAGUGGGUAUAUUCAAUGGCCUGAAGGGGACUUUAGACUCAAGGUGAAGAUUCUCCUCUACAUCUGACUUUAGAAAAUACUUUCCACCUUUCUUGUGGUUCAGAAAUCUAGUUUCACACAGUUCAUUUUGAGGUAGAGGGAGGUGUUCAGGAUGUGUCUGGAUUAGAGCAGCAGUUUCUGCAGAUGCUCCUCUCUGUCUUCAUUAAUUUGCUGAUGCUUAACUUAGGGAAGACACACUGAGGGUCUGUUUUUCUUUUGCCCUCACACCAGAGAACAGGCUCAUUAGGUCCCUCCACCAAGAGGUUUGGGUAGCAUCAAUACAAAUGUCUUAAACUCACCACCUUUACUAAGCACUUUAUAACAGUGGGAGUCCCACAUCAGAAUCUGGUGGCCAGGAGCGGUGGCUCAUGCCUGUAAUUCCAGCACUUCUGAAGGCUGAGGUGGGUGGAUCACCUGAAGUCAGGAGUUCGAGACAAGCCUGACCAACAUGGUGAAACCCCGUCUGUACUAAAAAUACAAAAAUUAGCUGGGUGUGGUGGCGGGCACAUGUAAUCCUAGCUACUCAGGAGGCUGAGGCAGGAGAAUCACUUGAACCCAGGAGGCGGAGGUUGCAGUGAGCCAAGGUCAUGCCAUUGCACUCAAGCCUGGGCGACAGAGCAAGGCUCCAACAGAGAUGGGGUUUUACUACGUUGGUCAGGCUGGUCUGGAACUCCUGACCUCAGAUGAUCCACCCGCCUGGCUUCCCAAAGUGCUGGGAUUAUAGGCCUAAGCCACCAGGCCCAGCCAAUAAAUGGAAACUUUAACUCAAAAGAAGGAAGGAAGGAAGGGAGGAAGGGAGGGAGGGGAGGGAGGGAAGGGAGGGAAGGGAAAGAAGGAGGGAGGGAGGGAAAUGAGGAAAGAAAGAGAAAGAAAGAAAGAAAGAAAAGAAAAAAUUGUAAAACCAUAAGGUUAAAGUAAACCUUUUUUCUUCAUACAGAGUAAGCACGUGAGUUCAGAUUACAGCUUUGCUUCUUCAUAGCUUGGUGACCUAGGACAAGUUAUGUAACCUCUCUGUGCCUCAGUUUCCUCAUUUAUAAAAUAGGGCAAUAAUAAUAUCUACCACAUAAGGUUAUUGUGAGGAUGAAAUGUGAAAUGCUGAUCACAAAUACGUAGCAGCCUAAUAGAUGCUCACUGUAAGAA
rnacentral:lncRNA from 10 species